rnacentral:rRNA from 1 species
GAUGAACGCUGGCGGCGUGCCUAAUACAUGCAAGUCGAGCGAACAGACGAGGAGCUUGCUCCUCUGACGUUAGCGGCGGACGGGUGAGUAACACGUGGAUAACCUACCUAUAAGACUGGGAUAACUUCGGGAAACCGGAGCUAAUACCGGAUAAUAUAUUGAACCGCAUGGUUCAAUAGUGAAAGACGGUUUUGCUGUCACUUAUAGAUGGAUCCGCGCCGCAUUAGCUAGUUGGUAAGGUAACGGCUUACAAAGGCAACGAUGCGUAGCCGACCUGAGAGGGUGAUCGGCCACACUGGAACUGAGACACGGUCCAGACUCCUACGGGAGGAAGCAGUAGGGAAUCUUCCGCAAUGGGCGAAAGUUUGACGGAGCAACGCCGCGUGAGUGAUGAAGGUCUUCGGAUCGUAAAACUCUGUUAUUAGGGAAGAACAAAUGUGUAAGUAACUAUGCACGUCUUGACGGUACCUAAUCAGAAAGCCACGGCUAACUACGUG